rnacentral:rRNA from 1 species
UAAAGAUUCAUCGCUGAUAGAUAGGCAUGCGUUCCAUUAGGCAGUUGGCGGGGUAACGGCCCACCAAACCGACGAUGGAUAGGGGUUCUGAGAGGAAGGUCCCCCACAUUGGUACUGAGACACGGACCAAACUCCUACGGGAGGCAGCAGUGAGGAAUAUUGGUCAAUGGGCGUAAGCCUGAACCAGCCAAGUCGCGUGAGGGAUGAAGGUUCUAUGGAUCGUAAACCUCUUUUAUAAGGGAAUAAAGUGCGGGACGUGUCCCGUUUUGUAUGUACCUUAUGAAUAAGGAUCGGCUAACUCCGUGCCAGCAGCCGCGGUAAUACGGAGGAUCCGAGCGUUAUCCGGAUUUAUUGGGUUUAAAGGGUGCGUAGGCGGCCUUUUAAAUCAGCGGUGAAAGUCUGUGGCUCAACCAUAGAAUUGCCGUUGAAACUGGGAGGCUUGAGUAUGUUUGAGGCAGGCGGAAUGCGUGGUGUAGCGGUGAAAUGCUUAGAUAUCACGCAGAACCCCGAUUGCGAAGGCAGCCUGCCAAGCCAUGACUGACGCUGAUGCACGAAAGCGUGGGGAUCAAACAGGAUUAGAUACCCUGGUAGUCCACGCAGUAAACGAUGAUCACUAGCUGUUUGCGAUACACAGUAA